AGAGUUUGAUCCUGGCUCAGAGCGAACGCUGGCGGCAUGCUUAACACAUGCAAGUCGCACGGUCAGCAAUGGCAGUGGCGGACGGGUGAGUAACGCGUAGGAAUCUAUCUCUGGGUGGGGGACAACCGUGGGAAACUACGGCUAAUACCGCAUGAUACCUGAGGGUCAAAGGCGCGAGUCGCCUGGAGAGGAGCCUGCGUCUGAUUAGCUAGUUGGUGGGGUAAAGGCUUACCAAGGCGACGAUCAGUAGCUGGUCUGAGAGGAUGAUCAGCCACAUUGGGACUGAGACACGGCCCAAACUCCUACGGGAGGCAGCAGUGGGGAAUAUUGGACAAUGGGCGCAAGCCUGAUCCAGCAAUGCCGCGUGUGUGAAGAAGGUCUUCGGAUUGUAAAGCACUUU
rnacentral:rRNA from 1 species